rnacentral:rRNA from 1 species
UACGUAGGGAGCAAGCGUUGUUCGGAUUUAUUGGGCGUAAAGAGCGUGUAGGCGGCCAGGCAGGUCCGCUGUGAAAACUCGAGGCUCAACCUCGAGACGCCGGUGGAAACCAUCAGACUAGAGUCCGGAAGAGGAGAGUGGAAUUCCUGGUGUAGCGGUGAAAUGCGCAGAUAUCAGGAAGAACACCCGUGGCUAAGGCGGCUCUCUAGUACGGUACUGACGCUGAGACGCGAAAGCGUGGGGAGCGAACAGG